GCUUCGGUAGCUCAGUGGUAGAGCGUGGGAUUGCAGCACGGCCUCGGCCAGCAUUCCGCAACCAUCCUAAAGUCAGGCGUUCGAUCCGCCUUCGAAGCU